UACGUAGGGUGCGAGCGUUGUUCGGAAUCAUUGGGCGUAAAGCGCGUGUAGGUGGUUAGUAAAGUUGGGUGUGAAAUCCCUGGGCUCAACCGAGGAAGUGCAUCCAAAACUAACUAGCUAGAGAGUGGUAGAGGAAGGUGGAAUUCCGUGUGUAGAGGUGAAAUUCGUAGAUAUACGGAGGAAUACCGGUGGCGAAGGCGGCCUUCUGGACCAUUUCUGACACUGAGACGCGAAAGCGUGGGGAGCAAACAGG
rnacentral:rRNA from 1 species